UUAAUUGAAGAGUUUGAUCAUGGCUCAGAUUGAACGCUGGCGGCAGGCCUAACACAUGCAAGUCGAGCGGCAGCACAGAGGAACUUGUUCCUUGGGUGGCGAGCGGCGGACGGGUGAGUAAUGCCUGGGAAAUUGCCCGGUAG
rnacentral:rRNA from 1 species